rnacentral:rRNA from 1 species
CAGCAGCCACGGGAAUACGAAGGGUGCAAGCGUUACUCGGGAUUACUGGGCGUAAAGCGUGCGUAGGUGGUGGUUUAAGUCCGUUGUGAAAGCCCUGGGCUCAACCUGGGAAUUGCAGUGGAUACUGGGUCACUAGAGUGUGGUAGAGGAUAGUGGAAUUUCCGGUGUAGCAGUGAAAUGCGUAGAGAUCGGAAGGAACAUCUGUGGCGAAGGCGACUAUCUGGGCCAACACUGACACUGAGGCACGAAAGCGUGGGGAGCAAACAGGAUUAGAUACCCCAGUAGUCCCUGUCUCUUAUAC